rnacentral:rRNA from 1 species
AUGAACGCUGGCGGCGUGCCUAAUACAUGCAAGUCGAGCGAACGGACGAGAAGCUUGCUUCUCUGAUGUUAGCGGCGGACGGGUGAGUAACACGUGGAUAACCUACCUAUAAGACUGGGAUAACUUCGGGAAACCGGAGCUAAUACCGGAUAAUAUUUUGAACCGCAUGGUUCAAAAGUGAAAGACGGUCUUGCUGUCACUUAUAGAUGGAUCCGCGCUGCAUUAGCUAGUUGGUAAGGUAACGGCUUACCAAGGCAACGAUGCAUAGCCGACCUGAGAGGGUGAUCGGCCACACGGGAACUGAGACACGGUCCAGACUCCUACGGGAGGCAGCAGUAGGGAAUCUUCCGCAAUGGGCGAAAGCCUGACGGAGCAACGCCGCGUGAGUGAUGAAGGUCUUCGGAUCGUAAAACUCUGUUAUUAGGGAAGAACAUAUGUGUAAGUAACUGUGCACAUCUUGACGGUACCUAAUCAGAAAGCCACGGCUAACUACGUG